CGCACCGAGGAGGCCGCCGGGGGUGCCGCGGUCAUGCCGGCCGGGGUUUUAUAGCGGAGCCGCGACGGGCGGGAGCCUCGACAGCAGGACACCGGCUGCUCCAAACUUAAUUUCUAAGCAUCGCAAAGACUUCUUCCAACACAGAGUGAGGACGCCACUAAAUUCCUGACCCAUAAAGCUGCCAGCCCAGGCCCAGCAGUCCCAGCCUCACCACAGCCUCCUUCCUCUUACCACACAAAGUCUCUGAGUGUCCUGUGUUCAAGUCCCUGCUCUUCUUCUGACUGAGGGACGACCUUGGGCAACUCUCCUACUCCUCUCUGAUUGCCACUUCCUCAUCUAUAAAGUGGGGAUGACAACCCUGCCCUGCUGACUUCUUGCCAAUAAACAGUUACUGAGCCAGAGCCUGCCCAGCCCAGACUUUCACAACCGGCCUCAUGGUUCCUGGGUGAGGCCAUGACCUGCUGUGGAUGCAGAAAUGAAUCACAGCUCUCAUCCUCUGGGGAUUUUCACACCAUGGAACAGAAGGAGGCACUCAGAAAGCUACAGGGCUUUGAGAUGAGAUAACCCUAGGUCACUUCUGGCUCCAUCCACCUGCUCUGUGAUGUUAGCAGAGCCUUGGUUUUUCCUCACGUGUAAAGUGAAAACUAUUUCCCCAUCUUCCUCAUAGAUUGCUGUGAGAAUUCAGUGACAAAAGUCGGAGAAGGGCCGGCCCUGGGCCUGGACGCAUGAGCACAUGUCACCAUGACUUCUAAGUGGAAGUCCUUUUAACUGGAUUGAACCUGACCCUAGACAGGUGUGGAUGUGGCAUUGGGUGGAAGGGGACACUGGGCUAAGUCCAGGGAGGGGCCCUGGCACACCCAGGCUCCACCUGAUCUCCCAAGACCUAGGGAGGGAUGAGGAAGGCUGAGGGGCAUGGUCAGGAUUCAAGUAGGUGAUGCUGAGUGAAAGGCCUUGCAGUGGUCCAGGCACUUAGUAAGUGCUCAUUAAACCCCAGCUGUAAGAAUAGCUGUUACGGGCAACAGUAGAAGAUGCCCAUGAUAUUACAGGGGCCCAGAGGAGUGGCACCUGGCCCAGCUGGUGGCCGGGGAGUUGGGGAAAGCCUCCUGGAGGAGAUGAGACUCAAGCCAAGUAUUGGAAGACAAGUAGAUGUUAACAUAAAAAGGGAAGGGAAAUCCAGGCAGAGGAAACUGACUGAGAAAAGGCAUAGAGGUGGGGUGAGAAGGGGAGUGCUGGGAGAUGAGACUGGAGGCGUAUUUGGUACCAGACAGGGAGGACUUGUUUGCUGGGAUUAGAACAUUGGACUGAACUUUCCUUUUAUUUUUUUAAUUGCUGUAUAGUUGACUUAUAAUGUUGUGUUAGUUUCUGAUGUACAGCAAAGUGAUUCAAUUAUAUAUAAACAUAUUCUUUUUCAUAUUCUUUCUCAUCAUGGUUUAUUACAGGAUGUUGACUAUAGUUCCCUAUGCUAUACAGUAGGACUUUGUUUAUCUAUUUUAUAUAUAGUAGUUUUUAUCUGCUAAUCCCAAAUUCCCUAUUUAUCGCUCCCCCAUCCCCUUUCGCCUUUUUUUUGUUAUUUAUUUAUUGAAGUGUAUUCAGUUUACAGUGUUGUGUCAAUCUCUGGUGCACAGCAUAAAGUUUCAGUCAUACAUAUACAUUCGUAUAUUCAUUUUCAUGUUCUUUUUCAGUAUAGGUUACUACAAAAUUUGAACAUGGUUCACUGUGCUAUAAACUUGUGGUUUGUUUAUUUUAUAUAGUUAGUAUCUGCAAAUCUCGAACUCCCAGUUUAUCCCUUCCUGACCCCUUUCCUCCUGGU